rnacentral:rRNA from 1 species
UGGGGAAUAUUGCACAAUGGGGGAAACCCUGAUGCAGCGACGCCGCGUGAACGAAGAAGGUAUUCGUAUCGUAAAGUUCUGUCCUAUGGGAAGAUAAUGACAGUACCAUAGAAGAAAGCUCCGGCUAAAUACGUGCCAGGAGCCGCGGUAAUACGUAUGGAGCGAGCGUUGUCCGGAAUUAUUGGGCGUAAAGGGUACGCAGGCGGUUUAAUAAGUCGAAUGUUAAAGAUCGGGGCUCAACCCCGUAAAGCAUUGGAAACUGAUAAACUUGAGUAGUGGAGAGGAAAGUGGAAUUCCUAGUGUAGUGGUGAAAUACGUAGAUAUUAGGAGGAAUACCAGUAGCGAAGGCGACUUUCUGGACACAAACUGACGCUGAGGUACGAAAGCGUGGGGAGCAAACAGG